rnacentral:rRNA from 1 species
AUACAGAGGGUGCAAGCGUUAAUCGGAAUUACUGGGCGUAAAGCGUGUGUAGGUGGUUGAAUAAGUUAGAUGUGAAAUCCCCGGGCUUAACCUGGGCACUGCGUUUAAGACUGUUUAACUAGAGUGCUGUAGAGGAUAGUGGAAUUUCCAGUGUAGCGGUGAAAUGCGUAGAUAUUGGAAGGAACACCAGUGGCGAAGGCGACUAUCUGGACAGACACUGACACUGAGGCACGAAAGCUAGGGGAGC